AAGGGUGAGGCUAAUUGUAUAAUUUAAAUACUGCUGGAUUGUUUAAUACAUCACAAUUUCUUAGUUUUAUAUUUUGUUCCAAUAAUCUGAAUCUGCAAAGUCAGAUAAAUGUAGUGCAGUAAAAAGUGCAAUAUUUGCCUCUGCGUAGGGAGAAGAAGUAUGAAUGAGCAGACAAUGGAAGUAAAGUACAAUAACCUCAAAAUAAUUGACAUGAGUAAAUGUACAUUACUUUCCACUCCUGUGCAAUAUAACCUAAUCUUAAACGGUAGUCUCCAAAAUGGCAGCGUCGUGUAGAGCUAUUUUAUACAGUCUAUAGCUUACACUGACACUUAAAGUAUGAAUUUACAACAUUCACAUAGCAUAAACGAGAGAGAGUGACAAAACUGUGACAUUAUUCAUGAAACAUAGUCUAAAUGUGCCAUUUGAAUCAUUCAAACACUUGGUGGCGUUAACGCGCCAUUAAUUAUUUGGUCAAACAAGAAGAAGAAUCGACCAGCAGCAGACCUCUUCCACCGCGCGCAUCUUCAAGCAGGCUGUUGUCGAGCACAUCAAAACACACGGCACGAGCCAGUAUGUUACCAAGUCAUUUGAGUAUUGUCUGAAGUGGAAAAGAUCCAUGUAUCCCCGACGCUCCUCCAGCCGAUCGAAGGCCUCCAAGAGGAGCCCCCAGAGAAGUCCCAGCCCAACUGAAGAAGUUAUCCAGCGCAGGCUGAAGGGUAAGAGACAGAGGACAGGGAUGAAAAAGACCAAAACUGAUGAGUGGAGGGACCGCGACAUCAUCGACGUCAUCAACAGCACACGUGAUGCAAAAGGUGUCGCCGAGGAGGAUGAAGGAAAGUUUGUAGAGAUGACGGAUAAAGUGGACGAGUUGGAUGAAGACUGCGUCUCUGUCACCAGCAGCAUAGAUUCUGGUCCUUCCCUCCAACAUAACGCCUCUUCCAAGAAACUGUCGCCCUCACAGGGCUUGUGCUCAGCCUGUAGGACUCUCUACCAGAAGGCAAAGAAGAUGAAAACACAAAUGAAAGACAAACGCUUAGACAAUGAUCCCAAGUCCCUGACAUGUGACCAGUGGGUCCUGAUCAAGAGCUGGAGACCGAGGAGGCUGCCUAAUAUAAAAGGGAAGCUUUUGAUCGAUGUACAGCUGCUUAAGAAAAGGCUUAAGGUCAAGAAUGGUGCAAAGCGAUUUGCGCAAUGUGUGAGAGAGGGAGAAUCAUCAGCCUGCUCCAGGCCGCACUCUUUCCUUGAGAGGAACCUUAGACGCCAUGUCACAGGGCCAGUGAAAAGGGAGAUGAAGAACAGGAGGAAGAGGACAAGAGAUGGAUCUCAGGGUCCUCGCGUCGCUAAGCAGCAGCGUCUCCACAGCAACAAUCGCCUCCAAAACAUCAGUAUUAGCAGCAUCGAUGAGAGCGGCCUUCCCUCGCCCAGCUGUCCCAGUAGCAGUCCUGGUUUUGAGGAUCAGCAAGAUGAAGAAGAUGACAUACAUCUGACUGAGUUGAUCCCCACCACAGUCUCCCUGGAAAUCACGAAGCCAAGAAAACUCCGACCCAAUCAGAAAGCACCACAGAAGACGGGAGGAUUCAGAGACUUGCUUGCCCAGCUGCGUGGAAACAGCAGCAUGAUCGUGAAAGAAACACGUUUGCGAGGCGACUGCGUUUAACAGCUGCGGUAUUCAGAGAAGUCUUCCAGCUCUGCUUUUACUUGUGAUGUUUGUUGUUUAGUCUGCUUAUUAUUCUGUUCUGAAUUCCAGACUAAAUACUUGUUCCUGUUGAAUUUAUUGGAAAAGUUUUGCUGCAGUUACACAUACUUGUUGUUUUGUUUUUUUUCUUGAAUUUCAAAAUAGCAUUUUAUUUAUCAGUACAACUGUGAAUAAAUGAGUGUUUUACUUUAAUGCUGCUUUAACUGUACCCCUAUGAUGGAUAGAUGUAAUAUUUCCAUCACAUGUAGACCUACAUGAGCACUUUCAGUAAGACGAUCACAUACUAAUUCAAUGCAGCUUUUGAGUGUGUGGUGGCUUCACUGAAAAGUGAAAAAAUAAAGUAGUCUAAAAAAAAAGUCAAUUUGUCUUGGUGUUGUAGCACAUGCAAGUCGAGUUUGAUGUCCUAUUGCUUAUUACACAAAUCAAAUCAAAUUUAUUUGUAUAGCCC
ensembl:lncRNA uncharacterized LOC115022051